GACGAACGCUGGCGGCGUGCUUAACACAUGCAAGUCGAACGGAAAGGCCUGCUUUCCCUUGUGGAUUGCGGGUACUCGAGUGGCGAACGGGUGAGUAACACGUGAGUGAUCUGCCCCCAACUUGGGUAUAAGCCUGGGAAACUGGGUCUAAUUCCCGAUAGGACUGCAGGGUGGUGCCUGUGGUGGAAAACGAUUUUCUAGUGGUUGGGGAUGAGCUCGCGGCCUAUCAGCUUGUUGGUGGGGUAAUGGCCUACCAAGGCGGCGACGGGUAGCCGGCCUGGGAGGGUGGACGGCCACAUUGGGACUGAGAUACGGCCCAGACUGCUACGGGAGGCAGCAGUGGGGAAUAUUGCACAAUGGGCGGAAGCCUGAUGCAGCGACGCCGCGUGGGGGAUGACGGGCUUCGGGUUGUAAACUCCUUGCGACCGCGAGGAAGCCACCUGGUUGGAAGGGUGGUGACGGUAGUGGUAGAAGAAGCACCGGCUAACUACGUG
rnacentral:rRNA from 1 species